rnacentral:rRNA from 1 species
UACGUAGGCAGCAAGCGUUGUUCGGAGUUACUGGGCGUAAAGGGUGCGUAGGCGGCCGUGUAAGUGUGGUGUGAAAUCUCCCGGCUUAACUGGGAGGGUGCGCUACAGACUGCAUGGCUAGAGUGUGGGAGAGGAAAGUGGAAUUCCUGGUGUAGCGGUGAAAUGCGUAGAUAUCAGGAGGAACACCGGUGGUGUAAACGGCUUCUGGACCAUAACUGACGCUGGAUGCACGAAAGCGUGGGUAGCAAACAGG